CAUGCCGAUCGGGGUGAUGACGCUGGCCAGCGGCGCAUCGAUCACAUUGGUGGCGUCAAGCCGUCCGCCAAGACCAACCUCCAGCAGCACAACGUCAGCGGGAUGUUCUGCGAACAGAUGGAAUGCCGCGGCGGUCUCGAUCUCGAAAAUGGUGAUCGGCUCGCCGCCAUUGACACGCUCGCAGUGAUCCAGCGCGUCNAACUGAUCGUCGGUCACAAGGACCCCGCCGCCCACCUUGCCGAGGCGAAAGCGCUCGUUGA
rnacentral:misc_RNA from 1 species